rnacentral:rRNA from 1 species
AGAAUCAACGCUGGCGGCGUGCCUAACACAUGCAAGUCGCACGAGAAAGGGACUUCGGUCCUGAGUAAAGUGGCGCACGGGUGAGUAACACGUGAAUCAUCUACCUCCGAGUGGGGAAUAACCUAGAGAAAUCUGGGCUAAUACCGCAUAACACUUACGAGUCAAAGCAGCAAUGCGCUUGGAGAGGAGUUCGCGGCCGAUUAGUUAGUUGGCGGGGUAAUGGCCCACCAAGACGAUGAUCGGUA